rnacentral:rRNA from 1 species
AUUGAACGCUGGCGGCAGGCCUAACACAUGCAAGUCGAACGAGUGGCGGACGGGGGAGUAAUGCCUGGGAAAAUGGCUGAUGGAGGGGGAUAACUACUGGAAACGGUAGAUAAUACCGCAUACCAUCGGAUGUGCACAGGUGGGAUUAGUGAGCUGGUGGGGUAACGGCCCACCGAGGCGACGAUCCUUAGCUGGUCUGAGAGGAUGACCAGCCAUACGGUAAAUGAGACACGGUCCGGACUCCUACGGGAGGCAGCAGUGGGGAAUAUUGCGCAAUGGGCGCAAGUCUGAUGCAGCCAUGCCGCGUGAAUGAAGAAGGCCUUCGGGUUGUAAAGUUCUUUCAGCAGAGAGGCGUUACUUACAGAAGAAGCACCGGCUAACUCCGUGCCAGCAGCCGCGGUAAUUC